GAUGAAGAACGUAGCAAAAUGCGAUAAGUAAUGUGAAUUGCAGAAUUCAGUGAAUCAUCGAAUCUUUGAACGCACAUUGCGCCCUUUGGCAUUCCGAAGGGCAUGCCUGUUCGAGCGUCAUUAUCACCCCUCAAGCCCCCCUGGCUUGGUGUUGGACGGUUUUGGUGGGACGUGCAGCCUCUCACCCCUCCUAAAGACAAUGACGGCGGCGUCGUUGGAACCCCCGGUACACUGAGCUUCUUAACUGAGCACGUACUGGAUGCGGGUACGCGAUGCACGGUCUGCCUCCCCUUUAGGGAGAACUUUUUCUUAAGGUUGACCUCGGAUCAGGUAGGAAUACCCGCUGAACUUAAGCAUAUCAAUAAGCGGAGGA
rnacentral:misc_RNA from 1 species